rnacentral:rRNA from 1 species
AGCGAACGCUGGCGGCAGGCCUAACACAUGCAAGUCGAACGGAUCCUUCGGGAUUAGUGGCGGACGGGUGAGUAACACGUGGGAACGUGCCCUUUGGUUCGGAACAACUCAGGGAAACUUGAGCUAAUACCGGAUGUGCCCUUCGGGGGAAAGAUUUAUCGCCAUUGGAGCGGCCCGCGUCUGAUUAGCUAGUUGGUGGGGUAAAGGCCCACCAAGGCGACGAUCAGUAGCUGGUCUGAGAGGAUGAUCAGCCACAUUGGGACUGAGACACGGGCCAAACGCCUACGGGAGGCAGCAGUGGGGAAUCUUGCGCAAUGGGCGAAAGCCUGACGCAGCCAUGCCGCGUGAAUGAUGAAGGUCUUAGGGUUGUAAAAUUCUUUCACCGGGGACGAUAAUGACGGUACCCGGAGAAGAAGCCCCGGCUAACUUCGUGCCAGCCGCCGCAGUAAAAC